UUAUAGCAGGUGGAUUCAUCAAAUGGCACGAGAUAUGAUACUUUUCACACUACUAUACAAACACCAACAAAAGAGAUUAAUAACUCAAGACCGGAAACUGCUGGCGUGACAAGUGAUCGGCUUUCUACUUUUCAAAUAAAGGAUGCCGAAACAGAGUACCACAUAUGUGAUCGCCUUGACAUAAUCAUCCAGGCCAAAGACGCUAAACAUGUUCCAAAAGUUAAUGGAGGAGAUUACUUCCGGGUCAGGAUUUUUAAUAAUGACCUCAAAGCUGGGGCUUCUCCCGAUGGAGAAAUCGUCUAUCUUGGAGAUGGGAAAUAUAAGGCAUCUUUUACAUUACGAUGGGUCGGGAAAACUUUCGUCCGUGCAAUUCUCGUCCAUCCAGCCGAGGCAGUGAAAGUAUUGAGACGAGUCCGGGAUACCUACCCGACGAGAUGUGGAUACUUUGGGCGAUUUACCAAGACAGUUGCAAAUCAAACUUUCAUUGAAGACACACUUUGCAAUGUAAUUCCUCCCAAAGAAAAU